ensembl:lncRNA ANXA2R-AS1 ANXA2R antisense RNA 1
GCGCUGGGAAGAGACUGUGCCCCUGCAGCUCCCCUGUCACCGGCUCCAAGGAGCGUCGGGCUCCCCCCGCCCAGCCCUGCAGCACCCAUCCGGCAACGCCAGACUCGGCGCAACGGGGGCAGCUGCGACUUUAAAUCUCUCAGAUCCGCGGCCUGAGGGCUGCCGCCACCGAGAAAUGGAGGCACAGAGCUGUGAACAAGAGACCACGGCUCGCCGAAAUGGCGGUGCCAGGAGCCUGAAAGGGAAUGCAGCCGGCGGGGUUGUCAAGGACAACAUUUGUUUUGGCGCAACCAGCGGUGCCGUCACCAAGAAACCGUCGACUCUGAGAAAAAAAGAGAAGUUCGGCUACCGAGAAACUCCGUGCAGCAAGUGCUGUGACAGCAAAACCGCCGGCUUCGCGCCGCUGGCGAAAGAGCCAACGGAAACGCCGGGUGCUGCGACCGCGAAGCCGGCACUAGAGGGCCUCGGAUGGAGAAAGCCCCGCACCGAGACGAGGAAACUGUGCACAGCACGACUAGCAGUUGACACAAACAGAAAAGUGUCUCGUCUGCUCUCUGGGAGAAAGCGUGGAUCAAAACCAGCAACUCAGUGGAGAGAACCCCGCAGCCACUGAAGAAGUUGCCCACGUGGCGGUGGGGCCAGAGAAACACCGCGAUUUCGACGACAGCCGUAGGGAUACCACAGAGAAACAUGCGCGGCCACAGAAGUACAUCCAGCUCCGCGCAAUCAGUGGUUCUGCGAUCCAGAAACCGCCAGCUGGGCUAGACUAGAAACUUCUAAAAAACUGUCGUCCCAUAGCAGCUUUCCUAACCACGACAGACAGUCGCCUUUAGAGAGCACCUAACGGUGCUGAGACCGGCCUGGGCCAGCAAAAGCGCAGAGCGGUGCCAGUGCCAAGAAACGCCCGACUUGGUGAAACCAACCUUGUGACCACCGAUUCCACUGGCUUCGCAGGACGCAACGGGCGAAGGCGCGGCGGAGAAACCGCAGGCUCCCUUCACCGAUUAUGCUGCGGGCUGGGGAUGGUGGGGGGCACCCGCGAAAUUGUGAAACCAGCGGCGCUGGGACCCAGCGAUCAGCUGCCCGUAGCAAAUGUCUGUGCAGUUGCAAAAGAUAAUUUUUGGCCGUGAGAAGGUUGCCGCCAGAGAGCGUCCGAUAACGCUGACAAAGGCGUGGCGUUGCCAGUGAGAAACAGCCGGCGCUGGGAAAGGAACGGUGCAGCGACCGACCAACUGCGCGCUCGGUGCCACCAAAGUGCUACUGGCUCUACCCACUCUGUCCCCCACGGGCUUAGGGAAGUCUGAUGUCUUUUUCUUUUCUUUUUUCCUCUGUCGCCUAGGCUGGUGCAGUGGUGUCAUCUUGGCUCAGUGCAGCCUCGACUUCCUGGGAUCCAGCGAUCCUCCCGCUUCAGCCUCUAGAGUAGCCGAGACCACAGGAUUUGGAAGAGGGCAGGAGAGAAAAAUGAACUGCAAGACUCCAGCACAAGAGGUGGGAUUGCUGGCAGAUGUCUGCUCCCUCUCCAAACCUAAUGAACAUCUCAAAGUGCCAUCCACUUUCCUAUACCCUUGAUCUGUGAAAUGGAUCACUGACGCUUUCUCUGUCUUUCCGGAAAUGCAAAACAGGUGAAUUUUCAAGCGCUUGAAUUGUCUCUCACACUUUUCAGUCAAGAGUGGGGCUAUAAACUCCUUCCUCAUAGGAAAUAAGGAACUGCCACUGCUUGGAAGUAAAACGUAUUUUUCCCAUAAGCUUUCACAUUUCCCAAAAAAAAUUAUACAUCCAGAUGUAAUCCCCCUAAGAGGCUUACAGACCCUACCAGGAGCGUUCCCACGCGAACGCAUCAUCUCCCAAUCGGAUCCUGAAAACACCAUGCAACCAAUUCCAUCCUUUUCUGGAUCAACCUGGGCAGAGGACAGGUGCAGAGGAGCCCAGAGAAGGGCCUUGACAAGUCAGGAGACCCAAUUUGGGGUCGCAAUUGUCACUCACUCCCCAGGCGUUUGCUUUGAUC